UGAUCCAGCCCAUGCCGCGUGAGUGAAGAAGGCCUUCGGGUUGUAAAGCUCUUUCGGCCGGGAAGAAAUCGUGGUCUCUAACAUAGGCCAUGGAUGACGGUACCGGACUAAGAAGCACCGGCUAACUACGUGCCAGCAGCCGCGGUAAUACGUAGGGUGCGAGCGUUAAUCGGAAUUACUGGGCGUAAAGCGUGCGCAGGCGGUUUUGUAAGACAGAUGUGAAAUCCCCGGGCUUAACCUGGGAACUGCGUUUGUGACUGCAAGGCUAGAGUACGGCAGAGGGGGGUGGAAUUCCUGGUGUAGCAGUGAAAUGCGUAGAGAUCAGGAGGAACACCGAUGGCGAAGGCAGCCCCCUGGGCCUGUACUGACGCUCAUGCACGAAAGCGUGGGGAGCAAACAGGAUUAGAUACCCUGGUAGUCCACGCCCUAAACGAUGUCGACUAGUCGUUCGGAGCAGCAAUGCACUGAGUGACGCAGCUAACGCGUGAAGUCGACCGCCUGGGGA
rnacentral:rRNA from 1 species